GCGCAAGCCUGAUGCAGCAAUGCCGCGUGUGUGAAGAAGGCCUACGGGUUGUAAAGCACUAUCAGCGGGGAGGAAGGCGGUGAGGUUAAUUCCCUCAUCGAUUGACGUUACCCGCUGAAGAAGCACCGGCUAACUCCGUGCCAGCAGCCGCGGUAAUACGGAGGGUGCAAGCGUUAAUCGGAAUUACUGGGCGUAAAGCGCACGCAGGCGGUCUGUCAAGUCGGAUGUGAUAUCCCCGGGCUCAACCUGGGAACUGCAUUCGAAUCUGGCAGGCUAGAUUCUUGUAG
rnacentral:rRNA from 1 species